UGCACCAUUUAGUUGGAUUUUCAUUUAGUUGUGUUGGUUCAGUCAUGAAACUCUGCUGCUUUCUUUUCGCCUGGGCACUUUCUUUUGGCUCGAUUCACAGCCAGUUAGUUAACAUACAACUUCCUCCCAAGGAUGAGUGCAGUGCGCAGUGCCAGCCCGCACGAUGUGAAUUUAUAUACCAAGCACCUGGCGAUUGCGUAGUUGGAUUUUGCUGUCGCGUCAUGCCCUAAAUGGGUGUAUAAAUACACAUAAUUGGUAGAACCUUUCUGCCUAGUUGUUCCCAUUUGAAUGUCACGUUGUUUUGCAUUUCGUUCCCCCUUAUCAAUUGGUCAUCCUCCAUGGCUCUUAAGCCAGCAUAAAGAAUCGCUUUGGAAAUACUUUUAUCAGCCCCGAAACUUUAACCUUCAGUGUUCCGUCUGGCCCCCAUCAUGAAGCUACUUUUUUUACUCUGCCUGCUGUCUGUCCCAUUGGCAGAAAUAAAUUGUGAAAUAAAGUAUGUCGUCCACACGGAGCCAGAGUGCAUGGCCUUCUGCCUGCACGAUGCCUGCUAUGACUUAUUCAAGGUGAAUGGCAGCUGUCCAGGGGAACUACAUUGCUGCAAGAUCCACAUAAUGGGCGGAUGAUUCAUUCGAGUUUAUAUUUCUAUAAAUAUUUCUAUCCCCCCCUAUUAUCUGA